GACGAAGGUGGCGAGCGUUGUUCGGAAUCACUGGGCUUAAAGCGCACGUAGGCGGGCUAUCAUGCACUUUGUGAAAUCCCCCGGCUCAACCGGGGAAUCGCUGGGUGAACGGAUAGCCUUGAGGCAGGUAGGGGCGUGGGGAACUCUUGGUGGAGCGGUGGAAUGCGUAGAUAUCAAGAGGAACGCCGGAGACGAAGGUGCCGCGCUGGGCCUGUCCUGACGCUGAGGUGCGAAAGCCAGGGGAG
rnacentral:rRNA from 1 species